rnacentral:rRNA from 1 species
CACAAGCGGUGGAGCAUGUUGGUUUAAUUCGAAGCAACGCGAAGUAACCUUACAGGUCUUGACAUCCCGAUGCUAUUUCUAGAGAUAGAAAGUUACUUCGGUACAUCGGUGACAGGUGGUGCAUGGUUGUCGUCAGCUCGUGUCGUGAGAUGUUGGGUUAAGUCCCGCAACGAGCGCAACCCCUAUUGUUAGUUGCCAUCAUUCAGUUGGGCACUCUAGCGAGACUGCCGGUAAUAAACCGGAGGAAGUGGGGAUGACGUCAAAUCAUCAUGCCCCUUAUGACCUGGGCUACACACGUGCUACAAUGGUUGGUACAACGAGUUGCGAGUCGGUGACGGCGAGCUAAUCUCUUAAAGCCAAUCUCAGUUCGGAUUGUAGGCUGCAACUCGCCUACAUGAAGUCGGAAUCGCUAGUAAUCGCGGAUCAGCACGCCGCGGUGAAUACGUUCCCGGGCCUU